AUGCUGUAGCAGCACGGAAUGGUUUGUGGGUUACACAGAGAUGCAGGCCAUACUGUGCUGCAGCA
rnacentral:miRNA from 1 species